UGAUGGUUGUUCCUCGUCCAAUUGAAAGAAUUAUUGUGCACGAUUUUAAACCAUCAAAGAACAAACAUAGCGAGAUUUCUUCACCCCUUAAUAUUUCUCUUUAUGAGGUCAUUGUAUUUUAAGGGAAUUUGCUAUCUCGCACAUUA